GCAUCUCCUGCUAGGCAGGUGGAUUCUUUACCACUGAGCCACCUGGGAAGCCCUAGAGGUACCUGGAGUAUUCAAAUUCAUGGAGACAGAAAAUAUAAUGGUAUUUGCCAGGGGCUGGAAGGAAGAGGGGAUGGAGAGUUUUUGUUUAAUAAGUGGGUGCGGAGUUUCAGCUUAGGAAGAUGACAAACGUUCCUGAGAUGGAUGGUGGUGGUUGCACAACAAUGUGAAUGCACCUAAUGCCACCGAACUGUACACUUAAAAAUGAUUCAAAUGGCCAAUUUUGUUAUGUAUAUUUUGCCACAAUAAAAAUAUAUAUUUGCUAAGGCUAAAGUCGUUAUAAGAUUAAGGGAAAUGUAUAUGUGCUAGUUCUGUCAUUUGCAAGCUGUGUCACCAGAGGAAGUCAGUUAACCUCCCUGUGUCUCCAUUUCUUUGUUUCCUCAUCUGUAACGUGGGAUAGUAUUAGUACCUAUCUUAUGGGAUUGUUGUAAGAAUUAAAUGACAGAGUACCUGAAAGUUUAGAAUAGGCCUUGGAACAAAUAUGCUCAAGAAAUGUUACUUAUUAUCAUUUUUGCAGACCCCUAGCUAUAAUACCACCACAUUUAUAUUUUGUGAAAAGAAUCUAUACACUUGUAUGAGAGUGUAUGUGUGUGUGUGUUAGUGCACACGUGUGCAUGCAACUAAUAUACUUACUCAUGCAUCCAUCAUAUAUUUAUCAAAUACCUUCUUUUCAUCAGACAUUGUGCUACAGGUUGGGCAGAGAGUGGUGAGCCUGGAUUGUUGGGGUAGAGAAUGGUGGUAACAAUGAGGCUCCUGUUUAAACAGAGAUGUUUCAGGCUGCCUCUCUGAGCCGGUGACAGUCCUAAGUAGAUCGUGAGUCCUGAAGGGGCUAGCCACAAAAACUAGAAGAGCUUUCCUGACAAAAGAAGCAUAAUGCUGCAAGAUCCCAAGUUUGAAGGCUCUUUGUACAUGGGUUAAGAGGAAGAGUAGUGUGAGAGGUGGCUGGAAUGUACAUAGAAAAUUCUAGAAAGAUAGGGAAGGAACUGUUCUGAGUGGUUUCUGCUAGGGAGUGGGACUCAGGGAGGUGUGGGGAGGAGGGUAUGUAGCAGAGAAAAGUAAUUCCACUUUUUACCUCAUUCCCUUCCACAUAGUUUGAAUUACUUGACAUAGCAUGUAUCUAAUCAAUAGGGGGGAAAGCUGGUUAGUAAAAAAUUGAGGAAUUUUCAUGAUUAAUAGUAAGGCAUCUAAUAACCUUUCCUUCUUUCAAGAAUCACCUCAUCUCAACUCUCCUCUCAGUUACUUUCCAUGCAUCAAGAGAGUAAUGUCAUUGGCCUAAAGUGGCCUUCUCCUCCUAUAGUAUUCAGCCAUCUCUUUUUGAGCCGCUAAUAACUUUUUUCAAUUCCUUCAGUGAAACCCUUUAAUCAUCUCUGCUUCUGGGACUAUGUUUACUUUUUUUUUUAAGGACCUUUCAAAUUCAUGUAGGAUUCUUACUUUGUUGUCACUGCAAUGGCAGAUGCACCCAGAGGCAGGUGCUCAAUGUUUUGGCCACUUGAAGCAGGAGGGGAGGGGGGAUGAGGACAGAGGGGCUGAGGGAGCAGGAAGAAAUAAAGCAGUGGGCCUGCCAAAUGAAUUCCAGAGGCUCUCUGGGGCUGCAUGCGUCCCUUUCUGUACCUCUGCCAGGGUGCUCAGCACCUUGUCUAAGUUGGGCAGGACUGAGAGUUUCUCUGUAGACUGAGCAUUCAGAAAGGCAGAAAGCUUUGCCUUAGCCAAACAGAAUUCCAGCAGUGCUAAGACCGCUUAGACUCAAACCUGUGAGUCAAGAUAACUGACGAUGUGUUCUACGAUGGAUCUCAAAACAGCCCGAGGCGGUGGUGUGGACAGGAGUUUUGAUCUGGAAGUCUCCUGGCAUCCUCCAUCCUCUAAAGUGAGCCGGAGCCAGAAAGGAGGAAAACAGAGCAUCUGAUCCAUUCUCGGCCGGCCUGUCUUGCUGAUAAUGUCGUUGGCUACAUGGCAACAGGAGAAAUAAGGUACUAAACACAGAAUUCAGAGUCCAUUGGAAAGGUGGCCGAGCUUGAUCAGCAUGAACAGGCCUAAUAUGGAGUCCAGGCCCUAUGAAUUCCUUCUUCAUGCCAACUAUGAGUAAUGAUAUUAGUAAUAAACUAGUAUUUAUUGAGUGUU